rnacentral:rRNA from 1 species
AUGGCUAUCUUAAGUUGGAACUGCCGCGGGCUGGGCGAUCCCGCGACGGUUCACGAGCUGCGCGACCUCACGCGCGAGACUGCGCCGGCGAUUCUUUGCGUUGCGGAGACACAAAUUGCCAAGUAUCGUGUGAAAGGCUUGGUUGGUAGUCUAGGUUUUGAUGGGCCUUAUGGUGUUGAUAGCAGUGGCCGUAGCGGGGGACUUUGCAUUUUCUAG